rnacentral:rRNA from 1 species
AUUCUGGCUCGGGAUGAACGCUGGCGGCGUGCUUAAUACAUGCAAGUCGAACGAAGCACCUGCGACGGAUCCCUUCGGGGGUGAAGAUGCUUGUGACUGAGUGGCGGACGGGUGAGUAACGCGUGGGUAACCUGCCUUAUGCAGGGGGACAACAGUUAGAAAUGACUGCUAAUACCGCAUAAGCGCACGAGACCGCAUGGUCAAGUGUGAAAAGAUUUAUCGGCAUAAGAUGGACCCGCGUCUGAUUAGGUAGUUGGUGAGGUAACGGCCCACCAAGCCGACGAUCAGUAGCCGACUUGAGAGAGUGAUCGGCCACAUUGGGACUGAGACACGGCCCAGACUCCUACGGGAGGCAGCAGUAGGGAAUAUUGCACAAUGGGGGAAACCCUGAUGCAAGCGACGCCGCGUGAGUGAUUGAAGUAUUUCGGUACGUAAAGCUCUAUCAGCAGGGAAGAUAAUGACGGUACCUGACUAAGAAGCCCCGGCUAACUACGUGCCAGCAGCCGC